AGAGUUUGAUCAUGGCUCAGAUUGAACGCUGGCGGCAGGCCUAACACAUGCAAGUCGAGCGGUAGCACAGAGAGCUUGCUCUCGGGUGACGAGCGGCGGACGGGUGAGUAAUGUCUGGGAAACUGCCUGAUGGAGGGGGAUAACUACUGGAAACGGUAGCUAAUACCGCAUAACGUCGCAAGACCAAAGAGGGGGACCUUCGGGCCUCUUGCCAUCAGAUGUGCCCAGAUGGGAUUAGCUAGUAGGUGGGGUAACGGCUCACCUAGGCGACGAUCCCUAGCUGGUCUGAGAGGGUGACCAGCCACACUGGAACUGAGACACGGUCCAGACUCCUACGGGAGGCAGCAGUGGGGAAUAUUGCACAAUGGGCGCAAGCCUGAUGCAGCCAUGCCGCGUGUAUGAAGAAGGCCUUCGGGUUGUAAAGUACUUUCAGCGGGGAGGAAGGCGAUAAGGUUAAUAACCUUGUCGAUUGACGUUACCCGCAGAAGAAGCACCGGCUAACUCCGUGCCAGCAGCCGCGGUAAUACGGAGGGUGCAAGCGUUAAUCGGAAUUACUGGGCGUAAAGCGCACGCAGGCGGUCUGUCAAGUCGGAUGUGAAAUCCCCGGGCUCAACCUGGGAACUGCAUUCGAAACUGGCAGGCUAGAGUCUUGUAGAGGGGGGUAGAAUUCCAGGUGUAGCGGUGAAAUGCGUAGAGAUCUGGAGGAAUACCGGUGGCGAAGGCGGCCCCCUGGACAAAGACUGACGCUCAGGUGCGAAAGCGUGGGGAGCAAACAGGAUUAGAUACCCUGGUAGUCCACGCCGUAAACGAUGUCGACUUGGAGGUUGUGCCCUUGAGGCGUGGCUUCCGGAGCUAACGCGUUAAGUCGACCGCCUGGGGAGUACGGCCGCAAGGUUAAAACUCAAAUGAAUUGACGGGGGCCCGCACAAGCGGUGGAGCAUGUGGUUUAAUUCGAUGCAACGCGAAGAACCUUACCUACUCUUGACAUCCAGAGAACUUUCCAGAGAUGGAUUGGUGCCUUCGGGAACUCUGAGACAGGUGCUGCAUGGCUGUCGUCAGCUCGUGUUGUGAAAUGUUGGGUUAAGUCCCGCAACGAGCGCAACCCUUAUCCUUUGUUGCCAGCGGUUCGGCCGGGAACUCAAAGGAGACUGCCAGUGAUAAACUGGAGGAAGGUGGGGAUGACGUCAAGUCAUCAUGGCCCUUACGAGUAGGGCUACACACGUGCUACAAUGGCGCAUACAAAGAGAAGCGACCUCGCGAGAGCAAGCGGACCUCAUAAAGUGCGUCGUAGUCCGGAUUGGAGUCUGCAACUCGACUCCAUGAAGUCGGAAUCGCUAGUAAUCGUAGAUCAGAAUGCUACGGUGAAUACGUUCCCGGGCCUUGUACACACCGCCCGUCACACCAUGGGAGUGGGUUGCAAAAGAAGUAGGUAGCUUAACCUUCGGGAGGGCGCUUACCACUUUGUGAUUCAUGACUGGGGUGAAGUCGUAACAAGGUA
rnacentral:rRNA from 2 species